CUGACGGCUCGUGCCCAGUUGCUCCGGGUGGUCGCACAUAUUCUAAAACUGGUAAACUGUCACCUUUCUCUCCUUUCCCGAUACCCUCUUUAACUUUUUCCUUUUCGAUUUUAAUAUCUUGCUGGAUCUCUUCUGCCCGUUUCUGGAGAGUGUCCUUCGCUUCAAGCAGAGCCUUUUCGUGGUCUUUCCGAAUUUUGGCUAGUAUCUUUUCAUCGUUUCCCACUCCAAUGCUGGAGUCACUGUCAGUACCUGUGCGAGUGUUCGUUUCCACUGAAGACGAAUGGAAGAAAACUCCACUGAGAAGCUUGGACGAAUCCGGAGCAAGGAAAGAAGCAAAGAAAGGAAUAAGGAGGUGAAAAAUAAGCAUUUUGAAGGAGCCGCAGGAGUUGCUCAGUCUGGGGCCUGAUGCGGGAAUGACCUUUCUUCUGUCAACCUAUGGCCACGCUGACCUUCACCAGGCCUCGAACACUCACGCUGAAUGGAGUGUGGAAGAGGGAAAACAGGAAGUCACAUUUCCUGAGGCUUCCUGUGACAUUUCAGCGAGAAGCCAAACUAAUUCUGUGACUGUGAAGCAAAACCGCUCAUUUAAAAGCCUGUAUCAAUAGAUGUGUUGUAUUUGCAUACCACGUUAUUGCAGUCUGUCAACUGAACUUCUAAAAUGUAAUGUCAUAGGACAAAGGCCAUUUGCAAAAUGUGAAAUACAGGUCAUAUUCAAAUGCUCUAAUUGAAGAUAUGAUCUUCUGCUGCUUAAUUAUGCUUGUGAUGCAGUGAUGUUGCCCUUGCCGCUGAGGUUUAAUGAAUUAACUCAGUCAUUGGUUUCUGUUCAGUCUAACUGAAUGCAAGUUGUGUCCUUUUUCCUGUUUAAUGCUUUUUAUUUAAUCUGCUUUUCAUUAAUUUCAGAAACUAUCAGACUCAUAAUAUUGUAAGAAAUGAAAAAAAACCAAAAACUACUGUUCAGCAUUUGGUUGAGGAUUGAAUCUUGCUUUGAAAUUAAUGCAAAUUUUGGAAAUGGAAUCUCUCCACCAAUAAUUUGUCCCCUGAUACUUGGGGAAUAAAAAUGAGAGAAUUUACACUUAAAUAAAGUGUGUUUGCGCUUAGUUGUAAUAUGUGAUUGUAUUACCCCUUAAGCUGUCACAGGUAAACUUUAUUUCUGUCUGUGCACAUUCAUAAAAAACGCAAUUUGUUAUUCUGCCCCAUUUAGUUUAGUCUGUUUAAGAGACACAAUUCAUUCAAUUCUUUCACAUUUCAUUACCGACUAUCCAAAUCAUAAACGGAAGACAUGUCACCAGUUAACUUAGUCAUUUAAAAACCCAUUAUAAAUAUGAUGCAUGUCUUAAUAUGCUAGUAUUAACAACAAUCUAUUUUCAGUGAAAUGAAUCACAUCUCAUUGUAAUGUUUCUGUAUUUGUUCUGUAUGUUUUCAUGUUUAUUCUUGUUUAUCAUUCAGUUCUCAUAAUACCUGGUUUAUGUUUUCCCAUUACAGUUCUCUAUUGCCCUCCCCUG